rnacentral:ncRNA from 1 species
UGACCUCGGAUCAGACGUGAUUACCCGCUGAAUUUAAGCAUAUUAUUAAGCGGAGGAAAAGAAACUAACAAGGAUUCCCUAGUAACGGCGCGAGUGAACGGGGAAGAGCCCAACACCGAAUCCCUUGGCGCAAGUCAACGGGAAAUGUGGUGUUAAGGUAGCCCUUCGUGU